rnacentral:pre_miRNA from 1 species
UCUCCAUUCUGCACAGUCUCUCGCCGGUCAGAGAGGCGAGAGAGUGUGCAAAAUGAAGAGA